CUUGAUGCCAGGGUCUCUGCUGUGUGCGCAGUAGGUUGGCGAUUUCAGGCGGCGGGGUGCAUCUAUCUGCCAAGGAGCAGCUUGAGAAAAAGUUGGAGCAGGAAAAUAGCCUGGAUUUCUGGAGGCUUACUUUAAGACCGGUCACUUCUGCAAGGAAGGAAAGGAGGAAGAGACUGGCUCAAUUCUCUGGAAGUUGGGCAUAAUUGGUACCACUGGAACAAAGCAAGGAGUGGGAAAUUGCACCACAUCAGAGCAGGUUGGUAUGACAGUGGAUACAACUUCGGGUGUGGUAGUGGAGACCAACGCAGGCCCAAGAGUGACUGGGGUCUAGUCUCAGGACUCCUCAGCCUCUCUCAUUGCCAACAUAUUUUCCCACCGACCUCACACCUGUUCGGUGGCAGGCCAAAUAGUGUGGUAGCUGUGGGCAAAACGAAUGUAACAGAGGGAUUUUCUAAUAGCCCAACAGCCCCACCAAGAAUUCAAGGUCCAGUCUGUGUGUGUGUCCCUGCGUGGAGAGACACAAUUCAAAGAGACUCAAAGCCCCGUGUCCUUCUCUCUCCCGGGAUCCACCUCCAGUGGCAUCUCUGGCGAUGUUGGAAUUGCUGCUGAACAACACCCUCAAUAGAUGUGCACCACCUGGGAACCAUCCAUCCUCCACAUACUUG